UGAGCAAUCUGCCCUUCACAUCGGAAUAACCAUUGGAAACGAUGGCUAAUACCGAAUAUGACUUCGGAUCGCAUGAUCUGAAGUGGAAAGCUCCGGCGGUGAAGGAUGAGCUCGCGGCCUACCAGCUUGUUGGUGAGGUAAUAGCUCACCAAGGCGAUGACGGGUAGCCGGCCUGAGGAGGGUCGACCGGCCACACGUGGGACUGAGACACCGGCCCAGACCUCCGG
rnacentral:rRNA from 1 species